UUGCAGUGCACUGGAGAAGCUCAGAACUGAAUUUGAGGAAAGAAUGGCCUCAGGUGGGAAUGGUACCUUCAUCAGAGGAAACUGCAAGAGCCACUCGGGGAUGAGACAUCUCACAGGAAAAAAGAUCUUGUGAGGUCAGUUUUCUCCUUGACACUUUCCCUAAACGGCGGUGGGAGGAAGUAAGCUGUCAAUUGAAAGCCAUCACUUUUUGGUAGCCCUGGGCUGCAGAGGGCUCUCAGCCCAGCGGCGCAGCUCCGCGCUCAGCGGCGCAGCUCCGCGCUCGCUUCCUGCCGGCGCAGCCAACAGGAAAUCCACGUGAAAGAAAUCGCCAGAAAGCUGCGGGGGCCUCAGGCUGCUCACGGACUCAGCCUACUUCACAAACUGGGGCUGGCUUAGAGGUGGAAGGAUCACCACAGCUGCGCUGACAAAAGCUCCUAGGUCAGAAUAAUUCAUCCCAUCAAAAGAGCACUUUCGCCUAGAAGGUGUUUUUCACCCAAGGACUGCCGGAUGAAACUCCUCCAGAAGAUACUCCAGGUCUAAGAUGUGGCUACAGCAAUAUUUGCUGCUUUGGUGUAACAACACGAGCAAAUGUUCCCUCUUUAGCUCUGUCCCAAGCUUCCUGCUCCACAGGUAAUAAAGGAAAUAGGAAAUCAGAGAUCAGGAAGGCAGUGAGGAAAUCUCGAGGUCCAGAGAGGAAUCUCCCAAAGCAGAGAUCCCACUGGGAAACAGGAACGUCAGGGACCUUCCUGCCCUGCUGCAGCCUUGCAGCCCCCACAGGCUGCAGAAGCACCUAGCUGCAGGGUAUUGGGGGGGGGGAGGGAGAAAUUGUGCAACAGCCUCAAUCGGCGCUGAAAUGAGGAAGGAAAUAAUGUGUUAAAUGAUUUAAUUUUCCGAGUUGUUGUUCCUCACAGAUAGACCUAGGGUGGGAGCUGAUUGCACUGCCUUGUUUUGAUUAACGAGCCAGAUCUGAGACGUUCCUGUUCCCUUUCAGAGAGUUUCCACAGCUUCUAUUCCAUUUUCAUAGCAGGGUCAGGAAUUCAAAGGACAUUUAUCUUUCACUCUUUGUAGCUAAAUAAAUGAUUCUCAACAAUA